rnacentral:rRNA from 1 species
GAUGAACGCUGGCGGCGUGCCUAAUACAUGCAAGUCGAGCGAAUGGAUUAAGAGCUUGCUCUUAUGAAGUUAGCGGCGGACGGGUGAGUAACACGUGGGUAACCUGCCCAUAAGACUGGGAUAACUCCGGGAAACCGGGGCUAAUACCGGAUAACAUUUUGAACCGCAUGGUUCGAAAUUGAAAGGCGGCUUCGGCUGUCACUUACGGAUGGACCCGCGUCGCAUUAGCUAGUUGGUGAGGUAACGGCUCACCAAGGCAACGAUGCGUAGCCGACCUGGGAGGAUGAUCGGCCACACUGGGACUGAGACACGGCCCAGACUCCUACGGGAGGCAGCAGUAGGGAAUCUUCCGCAAUGGACGAAAGUCUGACGGAGCAACGCCGCGUGAGUGAUGAAGGCUUUCGGGUCGUAAAACUCUGUUGUUAGGGAAGAACAAGUGCUAGUUGAAUAAGCUGGCACCUUGACGGUACCUAACCAGAAAGCCACGGCUAACUACGUGCCAGCCGCCGCCGUAA